rnacentral:rRNA from 1 species
GAUCCUGGCUCAGAAUCAACGCUGGCGGCGCGCUUAACACAUGCAAGUCGCACGAGAAAGGGGCGCAAGCCCUGAGUACAGUGGCGCACGGGUGAGUAACACGUGGAUGAUCCACCUCCUUGUGGGGAAUAACCUGGGGAAACCCGGGCUAAUACCGCAUACGCUCGAGAGAGGAAAGCCGCAAGGCGCAGGAAGAGGAGUCCGCGGCCGAUUAGCUAGUUGGUGGGGUAACGGCCCACCAAGGCGACGAUCGGUAGCCGGCCUGAGAGGGCACACGGCCACACUGGCACUGCAACACGGGCCAGACUCCUACGGGAGGCAGCAGUGGGGAAUCUUGCACAAUGGGCGAAAGCCUGAUGCAGCGACGCCGCGUGCGCGAUGACGCCCUUCGGGGUGUAAAGCGCUUUCGGUCCAGAGGAUCAUGACAGUAUGGGCAGAAGAAGCUGCGGCUAACUACGUGCCAGCAGCCGCGGUAAUACGUAGGCAGCGAGCGUUGUUCGGAGUUACUGGGCGUAAAGAGUGCGUAGGCGGCAUGGCAAGUCUGGUGUGAAAUCUCCCGGCUCAACCGGGAGGGUGCGCCGGAGACUGCCAAGCUUGGAGUACGGGAGAGGCACGUGGAAUUCCUGGUGUAGCGGUGAAAUGCGUAGAGAUCAGGAGGAACACCGGUGGUGUAGACGGCGUGCUGGACCG